rnacentral:rRNA from 1 species
GCUGAACGCUGGCGGCGUGCCUAAUACAUGCAAGUCGAGCGAACGGACGAGAAGCUUGCUUCUCUGAUGUUAGCGGCGGACGGGUGAGUAACACGUGGAUAACCUACCUAUAAGACUGGGAUAACUUCGGGAAACCGUAGCUAAUACCGGAUAAUAUUUUGAACCGCAUGGUUCAAAAGUGAAAGACGGUCUUGCUGUCACUUAUAGAUGGAUCCGCGCUGCAUUAGCUAGUUGGUAAGGUAACGGCUUACCAAGGCAACGAUGCAUAGCCGACCUGAGAGGGUGAUCGGCCACACUGGAACUGAGACACGGUCCAGACUCCUACGGGAGGCAGCAGUAGGGAAUCUUCCGCAAUGGGCGAAAGCCUGGCGGAGCAACGCCGCGUGAGUGAUGAAGGUCUUCGGAUCGUAAAACUCUGUUAUUAGGGAAGAACAUAUGUGUAAGUAACUGUGCACAUCUUGACGGUACCUAAUCAGAAAGCCACGGCUAACUACGUG